ACUUUCUUAGUAUAAACAGUACGUCUGACUUCCAAUCAGUUAGUUCUAGAACAACCUGGAAGAAAGUA
rnacentral:tRNA from 1 species